ACAAUAACCUUUCUCAGCAUGUUUUUCUUUUUCUGGUAGCUGGCCCUUUAAAUGUGGGAAAGACAAGCAGCUGCAGUCCUAAAGUGGUCAUUUUAAUCUGGCAGUUGCAGGCUUUGAUUUUCUCUCUCCUGGCUGAUCUGAGCAGCCUUUGGACUCGUCAUUGCCGAUCCAUCUGUGGAAGGCAUCACACAACAGUCACUUAAAUCAGAGUGAGUCCCGCGCCGCCGACCCUUCGCUGGCUGUGAUGUGCUGUUGUGUUUGGAACAAGUCUCUGUUUAGUCUGUCAGUAGCAGUACCCCAGCUUCCGGCUUGGGAAAGAGCAGCAGCCUAUUAUAAUCAUACUCAGCAUGACGGCACUGGCCAGAUGCGAACGCAGAACCCACAGAGGAUCUGGGAUAAUACGUUUGGUCCUUGGAGAACUGGAAUAUAAGACUGGGUGGUGGCACCUACACUGGCAGAAAGCAACGUGCCCUGUAGCUGAUUUGUCUAUUAGUAUUAGACGUUAAAAUAAAAUCUAAGAUUACAAAUU